GCUGGGCACUGCUUCACGGCGUGCGCGGCGGGGCCGGCCCUGCUGAAUUAUUCACCCGUGUCUUUUGCGUACUUCUUGUUUCCUGGGUGGGCUCGCCCGCCCUCAGGACCAACCACAAACCUUUUGCAAUAGCAAUCAGCGUCAGUAACAACGUAAUUAAUUACAACUUUCAACAACGGAUCUCUUGGUUCUGGCAUCGAUGAAGAACGCAGCGAAAUGCGAUACGUAGUGUGAAUUGCAGAAUUCAGUGAAUCAUCGAAUCUUUGAACGCACAUUGCGCCCUUUGGUAUUCCAAAGGGCAUGCCUGUUCGAGCGUCAUUUGUACCCUCAAGCUUUGCUUGGUGUUGGGCGUCUUUUGUCUCCAGUUCGCUGGAGACUCGCCUUAAAGUCAUUGGCAGCCGGCCUACUGGUUUCGGAGCGCAGCACAAGUCGCGCUCUUUGCCAGCCAAGGUCAGCGUCCAGCAAGCCUUUUUUUCAACCUUUGACCUCGGAUCAGGUAGGGAUACCCGCUGAACUUAAGCAUAUC
rnacentral:rRNA from 1 species